rnacentral:rRNA from 1 species
AUGCCGACCUCCUCGCAUGUCGGCGGCGACGGCCUCCCCCCCGGAUCCGCAUCCUCCAUCAUAUCCAGGGUCGUGAGCGGCUACCACUUGCUGAAGAUCGUCGGCUACUCGGGCACCAAGGAGGUCCCCAAUGGCAAGUGGAUCGACUCUUGCCCGUUCCAGGUGGGAGGCCGCACAUGGCAUGUGGAGUACUAUCCCAAUGGGCAAGGGUCCGAGUACAUUGAUUACAUAGGCCUCUUUCUUGCCUGGGAUGAUACCGUCGACAAGGCCGAGACCCUGAAUGCAAAAUUCAAGUUCAGCUUACUCGAUCAACAUGGGAAGCCAGUGCCGUCUUAUACCAAGACCUCCAAGACCAUAGACUUUUCCGUGGAUAAAUGUGUGGGAUGUCCUAGAUUUAUGAAAAGGGUUGAAUUGGAGGAAUCAGAGCAUCUCAAGGACGAUUCCUUCACCAUCAAGCUCGAUGUCACUAUCAUGAGCGAGUGCCACACGCAGCAGACACCGUCCGUCCUGGUGCCACCGUCUGACAUGCACCUGCACUUUGGCGAUCUCCUAUCGAGCAAGGCCGGUGUGGAUGUCGAAUUCGUUGUCGGUGGGGAGACAUUCUCGGCGCACCGGUUGGUUCUCGCGGCACGGUCUCCGGUCUUCAGAGCAGAGCUCUUUGGACUGAUGAAGGAGGGAGCCACUACUGGGGCCAUACGCAUACAUGACAUUAAGGCAGAAGUGUUCAACGCUCUGCUUACUUUUAUCUACACGGAUGCACUGCCCGCUAUGGAUCAACAGGAGGAAUCUGCCAUGGCUCAGCAUUUGCUUGUUGCAGCAGACAGGUAUGCUUUGGAGAGGCUGAAGCUGAUUUGUGAAGAUAAGUUGUGCAAUUGUAUCGAUACGAGCUCCGUGGCGACUAUCUUGGCAUUGGCGGAGCAGCACCACUGCCAUGAGCUUAAGGUGGCAUGCUUGGUGUUCCUCAGCUCGCCGAACAAUCUGGAUGCAGCCAUCGAGUCUGAAGGUUUCGAGUUUUUAACCAAGAGCUGCCCCGGUGUUAUUAAGGAUCUCCUCAAGUCCAAGGUUGCUCCUAGUCUACUUGGGAAAAGAAAGUCUAGGGCAUGA